rnacentral:rRNA from 1 species
UGGGGAAUUUUGGACAAUGGGCGAAAGCCUGAUCCAACAAUGCCGCGUGUGUGAAGAAGGCCUUCGGGUUGUAAAGCACUUUUGUCCGGAAAGAAAUCCUUGGCUCUAAUACAGUCGGGGGAUGACGGUACCGGAAGAAUAAGCACCGGCUAACUACGUGCCAGCAGCCGCGGUAAUACGUAGGGUGCAAGCGUUAAUCGGAAUUACUGGGCGUAAAGCGUGCGCAGGCGGUUUGCUAAGACCGAUGUGAAAUCCCCGGGCUCAACCUGGGAACUGCAUUGGUGACUGGCAGGCUAGAGUAUGGCAGAGGGGGGUAGAAUUCCACGUGUAGCAGUGAAAUGCGUAGAGAUGUGGAGGAAUACCGAUGGCGAAGGCAGCCCCCUGGGCCAAUACUGACGCUCAUGCACGAAAGCGUGGGGAGCAAACAGGAUUAGAUACCCUGGUAGUCCACGCCCUAAACGAUGUCAACUAGUUGUUGGGGAUUCAUUUCCUUAGUAACGUAGCUAACGCGUGAAGUUGACCGCCUGGGGAGUACGGUCGCAAGAUUAAAACUCAAAUGAAUUGACGGGGUCAUAGCUGUUUCCU